rnacentral:rRNA from 2 species
AACUUUCGACAACGGAUCUCUUGGCUCUCGCAUCGAUGAAGAACGCAGCGAAAUGCGAUAAGUAAUGUGAAUUGCAGAAUUCAGUGAAUCAUCGAAUCUUUGAACGCACCUUGCGCCCUUUGGUAUUCCGAGGGGCAUGCCUGUUUGAGUGUCAUUA